rfam:Aedes aegypti strain Liverpool supercont1.579 genomic scaffold, whole genome shotgun sequence.
GCGCGAUGAUUUUCGGUGAUUAUCCCGAAGAUCCACGGACCUUACGAUCCUGUCCGUUACUACGGCAAGCCGGAUACGCC